UGAUGAGGCAGGUGUGGAAGUUAGCUCUCUCCUAUGCAAAACAGGCCAUUGCAAGCAGAAGCACAACUUCAAGUUGCUGUAUAACAUUGAUCCCCAAUUUCAGCCUAAGAGCUGUGAUUACUGAGAUGAAAUGAGCAGUAUCACUUGAGUAGCAACAAUUGGAUAGAUGGUGAGUUUCAACUGCCAGUGGAUGAAAACCAAGAUGACACAAAGGACUGAGAUCAAAAGCUUAGAAACUUCCAGACCUUCUUUUGAUAGGACUUUUUACUGAGAACAAUGUUAUUUCCUGACAUGUAAUGGUUUGCUUUUAUAACUGUGGCUCCUAAUUUCAGCUUUACCUCCUGGAACAUAUUUUGUGUCUAGUAGUUUGCAGCAAUAUGGCUUCAACAGUGCUGUUUUAACCUAAAAUCUAUCUUAACAGAGUUUUGUUUAUGGUGAUGUAUUACCUCAGGCUUAAUUGUAUCAUAUUCAGUUUGGGAUUCUGAAACAUGAUGCACGUCACCUAUGUACAGUUAAUCUAAGUCAGUUUGAUAGUUCAUCAGCAAUUAGAAAACAGAAGGCUAUAGGCCUACAUGUAUAUUAAACAAGUGAGUGAUGCAAGUAUGAAGCAAUGUCACCAUAGCAACUCAGCUUGCACAUAGGAUGCUGUAUUUAACCUUGGGGAGCUCUUAAAACUCUUCAUUCCUGAAAUAGCUAAGCACUAUGCUGUAAUGGAGAUGUAUCUUUGGUGCUAUAACAGUAGAUUUGUCUUAGAAAUGUGCAAAUUCUUUGGCCCAAUAUAAUUUUUGACUAAGAAACCAAUAGGAUAUGAGCAUUCAAACUGACGUUGCUGAUGGAAAUCAUGACUUGCUGUUAUAAAUGUGCAAGAUCACUUGCUCUUUUUGGAAGUGGGAGGGAGCUGUCUGUAGAUCUUAUUGCAGUAUGAUGGAAGCAUCUUAGCAGGAAAAUAUUUUCAGGAAUUGCUGUUGGAUUUUUAAUCCAUUUUCCUCUUGCUAAUACUCACACACCUGUGGUUUGUACCCUUGUAUCUGUACAGUUACUGUGAAUUUUAUCAGGAAAAGGACAAAAAAUAUAUUUACUCUUGUGCUUAUCUUGCAGGUUUGAAUUUUCCAGCUCCUAGCAAAUUAGCCAUUUAGACUAUAUUAAUUAGAAAUGUGGAU
rnacentral:lncRNA from 1 species